rnacentral:lncRNA from 1 species
AAGAUAAUGAGUUCUAGUUCAUUCGAGUAGUCAGAAUCACAUUCCUUAUGUUAGGAACUCUAGUUGAAGUCAUGCAACUCAUGACGCAUGUACUCACUCUUUAUAGUGUGCUUAGUCCCGUAUAAAAGUCUUCUCAUGUUUCAGGGUCUUAUGUUUUAACCUUUUAGUGACCCUCCCUAUGCAAUGAUAGUGGUGAUGAUGUAAAUGUUCUUGUUGAUG